rnacentral:rRNA from 1 species
CAAGUCGGACGGGAUUGGGGAGCUUGCUCCCCAUGAGAGUGGCGCACGGGUGCGUAACACGUAUGUAACCUACCUUUUCCAGGGGGAUAGCCUCUCGAAAGAGAGAUUAAGACCGCAUAACAUCACCAUAUGGCAUCAUAAAGUGAUCAAAUAUUUAUAGGGAAAAGAUGGGCAUGCGGAACAUUAGCUAGUUGGAGAGGUAACGGCUCACCAAGGCUACGAUGUUUAGGGGAUCUGAGAGGAUGACCCCCCACACUGGUACUGAGACACGGACCAGACUCCUACGGGAGGCAGCAGUAAGGAAUAUUGGUCAAUGGGCGGAAGCCUGAACCAGCCAUGCCGCGUGCAGGAAGACGGCCCUACGGGUUGUAAACUGCCUUUAUACCGGAAUAAACCUUUGGUCGUGACCGAAGCUGAAUGUACGGUAAGAAUAAGGAUCGGCUAACUCCGUGCCAGCAGCCGCGGUAAUACGGAGGAUCCAAGCGUUAUCCGGAUUUAUUGGGUUUAAAGGGUGCGUAGGUGGCCUGUUAAGUCAGGGGUGAAAGACGGUAGCUUAACUAUCGCGGUGCCUUUGAUACUGACGGGCUUGAAUACACUAGAGGUAGGCGGAAUGUGACAAGUAGCGGUGAAAUGCAUAGAUAUGUCACAGAACACCAAUUGCGAAGGCAGCUUACUAUGGUGUUAUUGACACUGAGGCACGAAAGCGUGGGGAUCAAACAGGAUUAGAUACCCUGGUAGUCCACGCCCUAAACGAUGAAUACUCGAUGUUGGCGAUAUACGGUCAGCGUCUAAGCGAAAGCGUUAAGUAUUCCACCUGGGGAGUACGCCCGCCAAGGGUGAAACUCAAAGGAAUUGACGGGGGCCCCCCAAGCGGAGGAGCAUGUGGUUUUAUUCGAUGAUACGCGAGGAACCUUACCCGGGCUUGAAAGUUA